UGGAAUUGCGCAAUGGACGCAAGCCUGACCCAGCCAUGCCGCGUGCAGGAUGACGGCCUUCUGGGUUGUAAACUGCUUUUAUACGGGAAAAAAUCCCCCUACCUGUACGGAGUUGACGGUACUGUAAAAAUAAGCAUCGGCUAACUCCGUGCCAGCAGCCGCGGUAAUACGGAGGAUGCAGGCGUUAUCCGGAUUCAUUGGGUUUAAAGGGUGCGCAGGCGGUGCUAUAAGUCAAGGGUGAAGUCCUGCGGCUUAACCGUAAAACUGCCAUUGAUACUGUUGCCCUUGAGUAUAGUUAAGGAGGGCGGAAUAUGUAAUGUACCGGUGAAAUGCCUAAAUAUAACAUGGAACACCAAUUGCAAAGGCAACUCACUAACUCUAUCCCUGACGCUGAGGCACAA
rnacentral:rRNA from 1 species